ACCUGGCUGGCUCAGUCAGUGGAGCAUGUGACUCUUGAUCUCAGGGUCGUGAGUUCAAGCCCCACACUGGGUA
rnacentral:tRNA from 1 species